AACGAACGCUGGCGGCAUGCCUAACACAUGCAAGUCGAACGAGACCUUCGGGUCUAGUGGCGCACGGGUGCGUAACGCGUGGGAACCUGCCCUUAGGUUCGGAAUACCUCCCCGACAGGGGUGCUAAUACCGGAUAAUGUCUUCGGACCAAAGAUUUAUCGCCUUUGGAUGGGCCCGCGUUGGAUUAGCUAGUUGGUAGGGUAAAAGCCUACCAAGGCGACGAUCCAUAGCUGGUCUGAGAGGAUGAUCAGCCACACUGGGACUGAGACACGGCCCAGACUCCUACGGGAGGCAGCAGUGGGGAAUAUUAGACAAUGGGCGAAAGCCUGAUCCAGCAAUGCAGCGUGAGUGAUGAAGGCCUUAGGGUUGUAAAGCUCUUUUAACCGGGAUGAUAAUGACAGUACCGGGAGAAUAAGCUCCGGCUAACUCCGUG
rnacentral:rRNA from 1 species